GACGAACGCUGGCGGCGUGCUUAACACAUGCAAGUCGAACGGAAAGGCCCUGCUUUUGUGGGGUGCUCGAGUGGCGAACGGGUGAGUAACACGUGAGUAACCUGCCCUUGACUUUGGGAUAACUUCAGGAAACUGGGGCUAAUACCGGAUAGGAGCUCCUGCUGCAUGGUGGGGGUUGGAAAGUUUCGGCGGUUGGGGAUGGACUCGCGGCUUAUCAGCUUGUUGGUGGGGUAGUGGCUUACCAAGGCUUUGACGGGUAGCCGGCCUGAGAGGGUGACCGGCCACAUUGGGACUGAGAUACGGCCCAGACUCCUACGGGAGGCAGCAGUGGGGAAGAUUGCACAAUGGGCGGAAGCCUGAUGCAACAACGCCGCGUGCGGGAUGACGGCCUUCGGGUUGUAAACCGCUUUCGCCUGUGACGAAGCGUGAGUGACGGUAAUGGGUAAAGAAGCACCGGCUAACUACGU
rnacentral:rRNA from 1 species